UGUGUGUCGUAGUUAACGCGUUAAACAGGGCGCCUGGGAAGUACGGCCGCAAGGCUAAAACCCAAAGGAAUUGACGGGGACCCGCACAAGCAGUGGAGCGCCUGGUUUAAUUCGAUGGUCAGCGAAGAACCUCACCUAGGCUUGAACUGUAGCUGCACGCUCCCAGAAACGGGAGAAUCCUUCGAGGGUGCUACAGAGGUGCUGCAUGGCUGUCGUCAGCUCGUGUCGUGAGAUGUAGGGUUAAGUCCCACAACGAGCGCAACCCCUAUUCAGUGUUAUAAUUACUCUGAAGACUGCCCUGUCCAAACGGGGAGGAAGGAGGGGACGACGUCCAGUCAUCAUGUCCCUUAUGUCUAGGGCUACACAGACGCUACAAUGGCCGGUACAAUGGGUUGCCAAGCCGCGAGGUGGAGCCAAUCCCAUCAAAGCCGGUCCCAGUUCGGAUUGCAGUCUGCAACUCGACUGCAUGAAGUUGGAAUUGCUAGUAAUCGCGAAUCAGCACGUCGCGGUGAUACGUUCUCGGGUCUUGUACACACCGCCCGUCAGGGCACGGGAGUCGCUCUUGCUCGAAGU
rnacentral:rRNA from 1 species